rnacentral:rRNA from 1 species
AUUGAACGCUGGCGGCAUGCUUUACACAUGCAAGUAGGACGAGUGGCGAACGGGUGAGUAACGCAUCGGAACGUACCGAGUGGAGGGGGAUAACUGUCCGAAAGGAUAGCUAAUACCGCAUAUUAUUAGAUCGGCCGAUGUCUGAUUAGCUGGUUGGUGGGGUAAAGGCCCACCAAGGCGACGAUCAGUAGCGGGUCUGAGAGGAUGAUCCGCCACACUGGGACUGAGACCCGGCCCAGACUCCUACGGGAGGCAGCAGUGGGGAAUGUUGGACAAUGGGCGCAAGCCUGAUCCAGCCAUGCCGCGUGUCUGAAGAAGGCCUUCGGGUUGUAAAGGACUUUUGUCAGGGAAGCGGUACCUGAAGAAUAAGCACCGGCUAACUACGUGCCAGCCGCCGCGGUAAUUC